GAAAAAGACUGAGCGAGCCAUCAGCAGCAGCAGCAAGAACAUUUCGCUAGCUGAACCAGUAUGCACAAGACUGAAGUAUUUGCUGCCCAAGAACCUCCGAAGUGGCAGGCGGCCACGAGUUUUCACGGCAUAAACCCAAGUAAAGAGCCCGUCUUUAAGAAGCCGUGCCAGUGUUGUCAUUUCGGAGCUACAGUGAAAACUCAACCAGCCCAGCGCCGGUGAGACACGUAAAGACGUCAGCAGGUGCAGUGGGUGACGGUACCGUGGUGCGACACCAGAGGGCGCCAUUACCAAGCUCAUCACACACAAGCAACUAAGCAGUGCAUCUACAGCAGGGGUCACCAACGCGGUGCCCGCGGGCACCAGGUCGCCCGUAAGGACCAGAUGAGUCACCCGCGGGCCUGUUCUAAAAAAAAAAAAAAUUAAAUUUUUUUUAUUUUUUUUAUUUUUUAAAUUAAAUCUACAUAGAAAAAACACAAGAUACACUUUCAAUCAGUGCAUCAACCCAAACAACCUCCCCCAUGCACACUCAUCCACACCCACUCACACAAAAGGGGUUAUUUCUUUCUGCUACCAAUAUUCUGGUUCCCACAACAUAGACAACACAUCUGCAAGGGACACAGUCCCUGAAGCACACAUGAUUGUAUAGGCUGCUGGUCCACUAACAUUUUCAUUAAUUACUAUUUUUUAUGUAUUUAUUUUUAUAUUGUUUUACUUUCUUUUUUAUCCAAGAAAAUGUUUUUUUAUUUAUUUAUCUUAUUUUAUUUUAUUUUUUAAAAAAGGGCCUUCUCUUCAACAGACCAGGUUGUCAAUGAAAUUAGAUUUGUUUAAAGGGUUUUUUAAACCAGGCCCAGUCCAGAUAAUGUCCAAGUCGGACUCAGCAACACACACCUUCAUUCAUGUAUACAGAAAAAAAUUAGGGAACACAACAGAUUGCAUAUAAUUUAUAAACAAAAUUACAUUUUCAAAAUAAGCAUUUAUGUACAGUCCAGAUUAUGUCCAGGUCACUCAAAUUAGGGAACACAACAGCAGAUAUCAUAUAAUCUAUAAACAUAAUUAUACUUUCAAAAUAAGCCUUUGAGGACUUCUCAUCUUUUUUUUAAUGUUUUUUGGCAUCAUUAUUGUUUUCAACCAUGUAACUUUCUAAAGUUAGAAAAUACUGAAUAAAUGUUUUAAAGAAAGUAAUACUAAGUGAAUAUCUGUUUUGGCCUUAAAAAUAAACAUUUUACCGAGUACUAUAAUUAAAUUGACUAAAUCAUGAUUGUCAAUGAACUCUCCUAAAAUAACAGAAACCACAUUAAGCUUCAUAAACAAACCGAUCCUUAAACACAUUUUUUCAACUUCCACCCAAAACAAAGACACAAUAUGACAAUACCAAAACAAAUGCAGGGUGGAUUCAGGCUCCUGACAACAAAAUCGGCAAUCAUCUGACUCUGUCAUAUUCCAUAAUUUUAACAUUUUCCCUGUGGGUAAGAAGUUAUAAAUAAUUUUAAUUUGAAAAUAACGAUUUUGCACAUCGAUAGUGGUUUUAGAGAUUAGUUUGAAUAUGGCAUCCCAUGGCAACGGGCAGUCAAAAAAGUCCUCCCAUUUUCCAUUUGUGUUGUAUGAGGCAGCCUUCAAAGAUUUCUUUAUUAAAUAAAAAUUAUAUAUUUUUCUAUUUAUUUUAGUUCCUUUUUGCCAACUAGAAUUUCUUAUUAGAGGUUUACAAACUAAUAAUUUAGUAGUUCCAUAAUUAAUUAUUUGUUUCCAUCUUUUCCCAAUUACUCCAGUUAGUUGAUAAAAUGAAAAGCUUGAGCAAGCAUCACCAUACAUAGCUCUAAAUUAAUCAUACUUCAUAAUUUUACCAUUCUCAUUGAUAAUAUUGACAAAAAUGAUUCCUCUUUCAAACAUAUUUUUCCAAAAGAAAGGCUUUCCAUCUAUUACAAUAUUAGAGUUCAUCCAUAUUGACUGCUGCAAAAUAUUGUCUCUUUUUUCUGGCACAUAAAAUUGAAAACACCACUAUGAGUGGAUUGUUUCCUUUAUGAACCCCGCCAUGUUUCCCAGCAGACUCUCUGGAAGGGGAUCACUUGUAAAAAAGGAUACAAUUUCUUUUGAUACAGUACAUGUUUUUUGUCCAACAGGACAUUUGUGUACCACUCAAUGUUUAAAUACAUCUUUGGAACAAUUGAUGCUUUUAAAGAGACACAUAGCUUCAAGGUUGAGAAGUUUCAGGCCCCCAUAUUCAUACUCUUUGUACAAAACCUUUCUUUUAAUCUUUUCUGGUUUGCCGUUCCAGACAAAAUCGAAGACCCUCCGCUCAUAAAUCUUAAAAAAGUUUUGUGAUGGAGCUGGUAAUGACAAAAACAAAUAAAUAAAUUGAGGAAUAAUUAACGAGUUGGCAAUAGACAUUUUACCAUACAAGGUUAGGGAUUUCCCUUUCCAUAAUUGCAUAAUUUUGUCCAGCUUUCUUAGUCGAUUAUCAUAAUUUACUGAGCCUAGAUCUUCCAGAUUUUCUGGGACAACAACACCAAGUAUGUUAA